rnacentral:rRNA from 1 species
GAGUUGCGAACGGGUGAGUAACGCGUAGGUAACCUGCCUGGUAGCGGGGGAUAACUAUUGGAAACGAUAGCUAAUACCGCAUAACAGUCGACAUUGCAUGAUGUUGAUUUAAAAGGGGCAAUUGCUCCACUACAAGAUGGACCUGCGUUGUAUUAGCUAGUAGGUGAGGUAACGGCUCACCUAGGCGACGAUACAUAGCCGACCUGAGAGGGUGAUCAGCCACACUGGAACUGAGACACGGUCCAGACUCC